GACGAACGCUGGCGGCGUGCUUAACACAUGCAAGUCGAACGGAAAGGCCCUGCUUUUGUGGGGUGCUCGAGUGGCGAACGGGUGAGUAACACGUGAGUAACCUGCCCUUGACUUUGGGAUAACUUCAGGAAACUGGGGCUCAUACCGGGUAGGAGCUCCUGCUGCAUGGUGGGGGAUGGAAAGUUUCGGCGGUUGGGGAUGGACUCGCGGCUUAUCCGCUUGUUGGUGGGGUAGUGGCUUACCAAGGCUUUGACGGGUAGCCCGCCUGGGAGGGUGACCGGCCACAUGGGUACUGCGAGACGGACCAGACGCCUACGGGAGGCAGCAGGGGGGAAUAUUGCACAAUGGGCGGAAGCCUGAGGCAGCAACGCCGCGUGCGGGAUGACGGCCUUCGGGUUGUAAACCGCUGUCGCCUGUGACGAAGCGUGAGUGACGGUAAUGGGUAAAGAAGCACCGGCUAACUACGUG
rnacentral:rRNA from 1 species